GAGUUUUAGUCACGAGCGUUUAAUCAAUCAAGUGUUUAACAAUGUUUAGUUACUUGAUAUUUACGUUAUUUUUUCUACUUUCACUUUAUUUCCACGUUUAGCUCCACCCCGUGACUAAAACCCGUGACUAAACUACUUUAGUCACGGUUUUGACCAUCCGUGUUUAAAAUUACACGGUUUGUCACACAAAACCGUUGAAAAACUGACUUUUUAAAGUGGAAGUAGAAAAAUAAAAUAAAAAUAUCAAUUUUCCAUAUCAAUGACUAAAGAAAAACAAAUUAAACCCGAAAAUAUGCUGAACAUUACCCUCAACCUUUCAACCUUAAUUUUUAUCAAGAUUAACUAAAGUAUAUAUAGUUUAUGAAUCGAAAUAUUUAUUUACUAAUCAAAAUGCAUCGUCUAAGCGUGUUAAUAUUAACAUUUAGUGUCUUCAACUUAUACACAGUUAUUGCAUUUAAUGCUACCGAAGAUGUCGUCGAUAAGUGUGAUGAAACAAAUGUCAAACCAACAGUAAUUGCGGCUUGCGUAAAAGGACAAAUCAGUACCGACGAGAAUUUUAAGCAAUUUGUGCGUUGCAUGUACAAACAAUCAAAUUAUAUAAAUGCAACAACCGGAUAUCUUCUCACUGAUAACAUUCGUAAACAAUUUCUACAAGGAAAUUCAGAAGAACAAG